UACGUAGGGUCCGAGCGUUGUCCGGAAUUAUUGGGCGUAAAGAGCUCGUAGGCGGUUUGUCGCGUCUGCUGUGAAAACUGGAGGCUCAACCUCCAGCCUGCAGUGGGUACGGGCAGACUAGAGUGCGGUAGGGGAGAAUGGAAUUCCUGGUGUAGCGGUGGAAUGCGCAGAUAUCAGGAGGAACACCGGUGGCGAAGGCGGGUCUCUGGGCAGUAACUGACGCUGAGGAGCGAAAGCGUGGGGAGCGAACAGG
rnacentral:rRNA from 1 species